GCGUGACGGCCGUUGGUUAGUCUUCCCUGGGAUUUCGGCUGGACUGGACGCAGAGAGCUUGUUUAAAACAAAAAUCCGUCCCGUGACGGUAUUAAAAUCAAAAACACUGUUAAUGUUCGGAUAUAGACUGUGGGGGAGGGAACACCAACCAGCUUAUGUUCCCCGGGCAGGGACGGACGGACUGAUGGAGGCAGGGAGGGCAGAAAUGCCCCACAGACACACAAUCAGAACUUAGUGGAAAAGCCCAGCGGAUCUGGCGGAGUUCACGUUUUAGGUGGAGAGAUUCUUCCUCAGAAGUGGAGGUGGUUACUGCAGAUGCUGAGGGUUAGAGUGGUGCCGAGGAGCGUGGGACAUUCUGAUGAAGGCCUUUUGUCCGAAAUGUUUAUUUUCAUGCCAGGCGGACGCUGUCUGAGCUGCUGUUGCGUUUCCAGCACCAACUCUGAUCCUUCCUCAAAGGUACCUUUGGCCCAACCCCUCUGUGCUGAUCGGACUCCGGAUUGGCCGGAACCACGGCGAUUGACAGGUUACUUGACCAUUCGGAUCCCGAGAUAGUGCUAACCCCCGCCCUGAGGGAUCCUGCGCAGGCUCGAGGCGCUGCUGUUGAUCUGAGUCUGCGCGGAGGCGGGGCGUCUGGCUUCCAGGAAGUGCACACGCGUGGUGUUUAAACCCGGAACUGGGAAUGUCUUCUGCGUGGUUUCGGCUGAGCGGACUGAGUAUUAUCAUCCUUCCAAUGAGGGUGAAGGUAUUCAGCAGAAACACAAGGAAAUACUCCAGGUACAAACUGAAAAGCUGUGUGAUCACUAUCCGAAGAAACAAGUUUCCAGCUGGUUGAUCGAUAUGCUGAGUUAAUGCUAAUCGCUAAUGUACGAAAUUGGACAUUUAGAGAAGAUGAACAUCUGUCUCCAGAGUAAUGACCCAGAAGAUUCAGAAAUAAAAUUACAUCUGUGGUUGAGAGGAAACCGAACUGCAGAAUACAGGGACUGGACAUUAAUGGUGUCCGUGACAGAUUCUGGGACCUAGGACCUCAUCUCUGCUCUCACGGCACACUGAUCAGUGAUGGACCUGGCCCAAAGUGAUGAUAAAUUGGGUCAUUUCUGUAGCUCUGGGGAUUCCAAACUGUAAAAUAUAGAUUCUGAGGGUAUGUGCUGCUGCCUUCUCAGAGCUUUGUGCUGAGAAACUUGCCCUUGCUUUCAGUACAAACCAGUCACUGAUGGAGUUGUCCAUCUCAUUAAACAUCUUCACCAACAAUUCUGUCCCCUCAUUUUUGCAUGGUGUACAAACUGCACAGUCUGCAAUGGAUCAAAUUGUGAGGAAAUGGAGUUCACUCCAAAUGGGAAGUCGCUCCGAUCCAGACCGAGAGGGACUGUGUGAAUCUUGGAAGUUAUAGCAUCACUACUGUCGUUAUUUGAAUAUUUUUCGCUGAUUCUGCACCCCACCCCACCCUUCCUUCAACCGGCUGUGUUCAAGGUUGAAAUUCUAUUGACGAUUUCCCAGUCUCCACUUGAGCUAAGGUCAUCUCUCAUUGUGAGGUCAGAGGGCCCAGUCAUAGAGUCAUUAGACUCAGGGACUCAGCACUCAGUGUGGCUUCUACAGGAUAUCUUUGCCUCAUUGUGACCUGCUGGGGACAUACAUUGGCAUCAAGGAGCCAGAGUUGGACUCUGUCUGGGCUGCAAUGGAACAGUGACAGUUACACUCAAUAUUCGUGUGUCUGUGGGGUAGAUUACUCCAGGUUCCUGCUCAGUACCUUACGCAGUAAGGAAGGUUUAGAUUACUUACAGUAGUGGAAACAGGCCCUUCGGCCCAACAAGUCCACACCGACCCUCCGAAAAGCAACCCACCCAAACCUAUUCCCCAACAUUUAACCCUUCACCUAAUACUACAGGCAAUUUAGCAUGGCCAAUUCACCUAACCUGCACAUUUUUGGACUGUGGGAGGAAAUCGGAGCACCCGGAGGAAACCCAUGCAGACACUGGGAGAACGUGCAAACUCCACACAGACAGUUCCCUGAGGUGGGAAUUGAACCCGGGUCUAUGGCGCUAUGAGGCAGUAGUGCAAACCACUGUGCCGCCAUGUGAAUCUGUGUCAGAGUGAAAGGGGACUGUGCCUCUCACUUGAGAUGGACUCCCCUUCCAAUAACAUCCACUCUCUGGAUUCACUCAGAGUGACAGCUUUGUUUUGGAUAUUCCUCGAAUUGGACUUCACAAUCAAGCAGCUCCAGAGAGAGAGAAAACUAAAGGAUAAGCUUGAGCAUGGAACAUUGAGCACAAAACCUCAGCUUCCUGGGUAACUGCAGGAGUAAAUUCUCAGAGUGACAGAACGUUCCUAUACUUUGUUAGGAUGAUCUCCUCACUCUGUUGCAUUAUGUUGAAGUAUUUGCAGUAUUGCUUUUUCUUUUGAAGAGAAUAUUCCAUCAGUGAUAGUAUAGUGUCUGGAAAUGGCAGAAUCCAAGCAUGAAUGAGAACCAGAUAUUAAAACAAAACAUUCUGAUCACGCAUUUUGUCAAAAGAUGUGUGGUCUUAAUACAGGAACCGGUUGUAAAAGACAACAUGCCAGUGACAAUCAGACAACCGUGCAGAAUAAAAACUAAGAACUGUGGAUGCUGUAAAUAAGAAACAAAAA